GCCGGAGCCCGCCCGGGCCGGGGCAGCGACCUGUCCACUGCGGGCGCUCUCCUCCGGAGCCCUAGAAUCCCAGAAUGACAGAAGCAACUACAAACACCCGGGAAGAGCAGGCACAAGGAGAGGAACGAGCGAGAGAAAAGAGUUUUGCUGCCAAGCUUGAGCUAAAAGUCUGAUCUGGGAGAACAUUGCAGAGUGAAGCUGGCCAGGUUCAUUGCUAACCUGAAGACACAAAACAGAGGAGUCAGGAAGACUCAAACACAGCAGCAUCAGACCUCGCUUCACUGAGAGUAGGAGCUGCAUCCUUUGCCUCCUAUUUGCAGUGGCCAAAGUGUGAGUGUGUUGGCAGCUGACAUCCCUCAGCUGGCCAUGGCCACUUGUGUAGGAGCAGAAACUCCUUUGCGUGUCAGAGUCUUAACAUCACUUAACUCCUUUUUUCCCCCUCUGAGAGCCUCUCAUUCUUCCCUACCACUUGCACAGCAAGCUCCUGGAAAUGAUCUGAACUGCAGGUGCAAACCAGGAGAGGGUCAGGCCUUGAUUUGGCAAACACCUGAACCAUCUGGGAGAGAGAGUGCCUGGCUUUGCUGGUGUCCCUGGCUGCUGACCUCCCAUUCCCAAGUUUUUAAAGUCUGUCAAUUCUAUGAAAUGUAUUUUGCUACACUUCUGGUGAUGGACUUUUUGGCCUAAGUUCACUAUUUGUUAUUGAGAAAAUGGUACUGAAAGAGUUAACAUUAGUGCUCCUUUCUUGUGCCUCCUUAUGAGGCUUAUGAGAUAAGAAGAUCAGAAGUGUCUAUAUGGGGUAAAACAAGGGCAAAAGACAUUGUGGUGGCUAUCCAACCGGCUAUGCCACAGCCCUUGAACUUUGACACUCCCCCCUGUCCUACCAGUUCAAGCCUCACUUUCUGGCAGGAGUGGCUGCAAGUGUGUCAACCCUCACUGCUCCUGUUCUUGGGGGCCAGGGAGGAGCAAUACCUGGGUACUUUCAAGUGCUUGUUUACAAAGGUUUCCCUUUCUUUAUUACUAAAAGCUAGUGCAGCUUUUUGUUCCUUUUCCAGCUAAUGAAUUUUGUGGCACUUCAUCUGGUUAAUCAGUUAGCAGUGAUUAAACAGGGGAAAGAUAAAUGACAGCCUGAGUAACGUCAUCAUGGUUUCUGCGUGGUGGAAAGGAGUGGUUUGCCAGGGAAACGUCUUGUGAAAUAAGUGAGAAUUGAAAUAUAAGCACAGAAUUUACCAUGCUUUAAAAUCCCCUUGUGGGUGCUCACUUCCUCCAUCGGCUGAAAUGGAAUUGUUGAAGAAGUUACCAUUCCCAGACAGCUCCCAGUCACCAUCAUGGCUGUCUUCUGCCAAAGACUACCACCAUCCCUCCCUACCUGCAAGCUGCUCACUCGAUCCCUCCCAAAGUCAACCAUAGCAGCUUAAGCAGUUUAAAUAGUAGAAGUCAGCUGCACUGGUUUGUUUUGGCUGAAAUGGAUUAGGGGAAAUCCAAGUCACCAGCUGGGAAGUGAGUUGACUUUUUCAUGGACAGCUUCAGGGGAGGUUGGGCCUAAUCUGCUUUCAGAGCAGACUUCUGUACCAGACAACUGCUACUGAC